rfam:Triticum urartu cultivar G1812 contig422736, whole genome shotgun sequence.
AGCUGCGUGGUGAGCAUAAAGCGAACUAUUCUUUCGCCUUUUACUAAAGAAUACCGUGUGCGCACCAUAUCAAGCAGCAUACACCUAUUUUUGAAGGGUUCUUUUCUCUUGAUGAGGAGG